GUGAUGAUUUAAACGUCAUCGAGCCGAGGGCUUGCGGACCUGCCUCGUUCUCCUCAGUAAAUCGCCUCAAAUAAAAGUGCUCUUAGAAAGUGCGGAUAGAAGUUAUCAACCCAAGGAUGGAGAACGUUCCUUGCGUGGCUACCAAAUCGAUUGGCGUGUGAUACCGUUCAUAAAUUUUCUUGGUUAUUUAAGUCAAUUCAUCGGUCACAAAAGAGAAUAUAUAAGUUUCUAGUGUUUAGCCAUCAGCCGAGUGCGACGAUUCAUUACUGGCCCCAUCAGUAAGUUCGACGCGAUGAUUCCCGCAGCCAGUUUUCCGCGAGGGAAUAUACACGACAAGAAUGAAUGCUCAUCCGUUUUGAUGGAAAAAGAUUUUAGGUCUAUAUUUUACGAUCUCUUUCCAUAAGAAUAUAAUUUGAUCAGUUUGAAUUCAUGGGCGUUGAUAUAUCAUCGAGCAAAGAAAGAUGUGAUAGAUCUCUAGGCGAUAUCCCGCAGUGAUGAGGUUGAGUGCGGGGUCAGUGUAACGAAUCGGUCGGCUAAUAUGCGCUGGCUAGCGGUGGUGUCGGUGGCGUUGGCGCUCUGCUUGGGGUCCGGGGCCGGUGCGUGGGGUCAGCGGAACAAGUCGGGGCUCCAAGUGGGCGAGCGCUACAAGCAGGCUACGGUGGGGGGCCGCGGGAGCAGCGGGGUCAAGAUCGGGACCGGAAACGCCUCGACCGGAAAUAAGUACAAGGAGCACCGCAACGUCUCGAUGAAAGGGCUCUCGACGACGACGACGUCGACGACGGAAGCGGCGGUGACGACCGAGGACGAGACGGUUUCCGGCGCGGCCACCGAGAACCCGGACCGCUUGAAAGUCACUUUGAACAUCGGGGUGGUGAUGCCGCUCAAGACCUUCUAUCAGCGGGAUUACAAGAAGGCCAUGAGCUCCGCCCUGGCGGUCAUGCAGCGCAAGAAGCCGGACCUCUUCGCCCAGAUCGACGUCAAGCCCCACUACAGCCUCAAACAGGCCACGCCCAGCCCCACAGGAGCCCAUGAGGAGAAUGAGUGGUUAUUUACUGGGUCAUCGAAGCGGAGCAGCGCCGUCCAUCUUGAAUGCCAAGGAUGCCUCGCUCGUGCUCCUAUGCGGAUACGUUUCAGCAUACCAAGUGCUACUACCACGUGAGGACUGAGCCAUGCGCAACAGAGACAGUAAAUUGGGAUCAACGGACGCUCUCCAGAACAGUGGUCGAGCCCAUGUAAAAUAUGAAACAUUUUCCAAGUGUCCGAAAAAAAUCACGGCUCCCUGUUCUUGAGGAGCCCUGGACUGUCGAUUCCUGUGCGCGUUUCAGACAGAUACUCCAACGGUGAGUCACCGACGCGUAGAAUAAUAUUUUUUGUCUGGUGCAUCAGAAUAGCAUCAUGAGACGCUAAUAGUGGAGUAUGUGUCAUAGAUGUCAGCGACGAUUGUGUUUCCGUCGUGGUGAGAGUGCGUAAACAUGACUCGUGGAUGAAUAGCGCUAUGGAUAGGAUUUUAGAAAACAUAGCCGGCGAUUCCUAAACGGGUCAUAUUCGACAAGCUACCUCGUGUGUCUUUUAAUGUUGGAUCAACGAAGAGUCGCUUUCUGGUGAACAAAAUUUGAGUGUCUUCAUUUUUUACCACAACUUCAGGACAACACUCAAGAUAUCCGUCACCGGUGAUAAAUCGUUCGUUCAAAUGAGAAAUGGUGUUUCGUGCGCGGGUAUCAAUUGUGCUAAUCGGUUGAAUCAUCGGGCACACAAUGAACGCCCCGCGGGAGCAACGAUGAAUCAUUAAUUGAAUCAACAGUGCACCAACCGUAGGUGAACAGUUCAGUUUUCAUUCAACAUCCAUGGAAUUAGGGUGAGUCAAUUUGGAACGAUUCGGAAUCGGUUGCUUGUCAUUGAUCGCUUUCGUUAAUAUAUUGAUCAGUAAGUCAAGGGAAAAGAAAGGUUUGGGUGAUCGGUGACUCGAAAAUGAAGAUGGCCGCAUUUUUUUUCAUCUCGAUCAUAGUUGCCGAGACGGUGAGUGUGCCUUUCGCGGUGGGAGCCCGAUUGCGUCAGCGGAACGAGACGAUUCUUCACCGCGCGACGAGCACCCCGCAAACGCCCACGAGCGAAACCACUGAGCGGAAACCCGAUCUCACGAUCGGGCUCAUAGUGCCGAAGAAACAGUUCGGGGUUCGCGAUUAUUUGCGCGGGAUACAGGAGGCUAUCAACAGCCUGCACAAGUCCCGAGGGCCUAAACUCAGCUUCCUCAACAAGUACAACUUCACCCAGUAUCAAGUCAACACCGAAAUGAUGUCGCUCACUCCCAGUCCUACAGGUAAGAACGAUGUACCUUUACUUCUCAGUCGAUACAGGUCAACUCACAAUGAGUGCAUAGAACGGAAGUGAAUACGAAUUUUGAUUUUCAUUGAAAUUAUAGGAUUCAAAAUUUGCCUGCGAACGAGAUUUGAGUGGACAAAUUACAACACGUUUUGCAGAGUUUUAUACCUCCAUCUUAAAGCGUCCAACUAGCCUUUCAGAUAAAUGAAUCAUUUCACUCAUAGCGUAAUACCAUCAACCUAUUCUAUACUUUUCAUGAACAUUAGUUUUCAACCUUUGACCUUUUUCGUACCACGUCUCUUUUAUCAAUGACCAUGAUAGGAGAAAAUAGGCACGGAAGAAGCAGCCACAGCCAAGCAUCAUGGAGGAAAUUCUUCGAGUUGUAACGCACCAAUCAGACCUUACCUUAUUAACACAUUGACAGAGUUUUUACAUAUGCACAACGUAAUGAAUAAGUCGGACCGUCACGUCGCGUCGUGUUGCUCGUCCGUAUACUGACCGUUGGUGGAUCCAGAAAAGAAGCAACAUUGUUUUUCUCCUUGUAUAAACCCAUGAAAAUAUAUCGAUCCUUGGAGGGGCCAGGUGUUUCGACAAGAAUCGAUUAUUUAACAUAGGUUUAAAUGGAAGGAAUACGGUGUUGCCAAAUUUCUGGAUCCGCCGCUGAUAAUAACAUCGCCUCUUAGUAAGUCUACGGCUCACGACCAGUUGAAGCGUGGUUAAGUAGAACUAGGAGGGCUAAGGGGCCCGCUUUCAGAAAUUUAUUUGUUCCCUCUCAAGAAAUGUGAGGGAUUUUACUAAAUAAAAUUAUAACUUAUCCUUCACUUUUGAAAUUGUAAUGGGAUCAAUUUUUAGUAAAAUAAGCCAAAAUUGCACCUGGAAUGGCUCAGUUUUUCUAAAUUCUCCCGCGAUGACCCCUCAGGCCCCCGUGGAAACUAGAGAUUUCCCCAAAACUCACCUCUGGAACUGGGAGAGUCUUACAAAUCCCCCAGGGUGUCUUUUUGUGCCACCCUUUUGUGUCGUUAGAUGUUCUGCUGGCCCUCUUUAUAAUGGGUUUCAAGUUCCGCUCAUGAAUAGAAGGCAAGCUAUUCUAUAUUUAAGACAGGUUUCCCUUCAUUAAAGCUUAUCAAAUUUAGAAAGGCCAGUGGCGAGGCGUGCAUGAUCGAUUAUCGAUAUUUCCCUAUUUGAAGCUCUGGUGAAGAAUCGAUUACUAAGGUUUUUGUUGCGAACACUCUGUUUAUUGAUCCUUUUCCAUAGGUUUAAAUGGUAGAUCAAUUGAUAUAUCGCAAAGCACGCCACGCCAAUGAGAAAGGCAUAUUGGGUACGUUCUAAGUAUGGUU
rnacentral:lncRNA from 1 species